AGAGCGCCCUGAGGGUCAGGGCCCCUGGGGGUCGUUUAUUUCGCCGAGUAUUUCGUCAACCAGGGGCUGCUGGAGCUGCUCUACUUCCCCUCCUCGCCCCUCCCCCACACCGCCCAGUACCGCACGCUGCAGCUCUGUUACCAGCUGGGGUCUUCGUGUCCCGCUCGUCCUCGCGCUGCCUCCGCCUGCGGCGCCUCGAGGGCUGGCCCUGAUACAGGUGCUGAACGCUGCUUUCCUAUUGGCUGCCGUGCUCUGGCCCCUCCUCCUCGCUGGGCGUGGCCGCCGUGCUGGUGGUGGGGAGGGGCUGGUGGGGAGGGGCCUACGCCAACACCUUCCUCAACCUGGCCCAGCAGGUGCCCGGGCAGGGUCAGUCGCUGGCCGUGGCUCUGGUCACUCUGCUGGACGAGGUGGCCGUGGCUGCGGCCGGAGGGGUCGCCCUGGGGGCACACGGGGGGUUCUGCCGCCAACUGACCACUCACUGACCACUGAGUGACCACCAACUGACCACUGAGUGACCACUGACCAUGAGUGACCACUGAGUGACCACUGAGUGACCACUGACCAUGAGUGACCAC